rfam:Camelus ferus unplaced genomic scaffold scaffold880, whole genome shotgun sequence.
GAGGGUAUAGCUCCGUGGUAGAGUGCCUGCUUAGCAUGUGCCGGGCCCUGGGUUCAAUCCCCAGUGCCUCCA